rnacentral:rRNA from 1 species
AUUGAACGCUGGCGGCAUGCCUUACACAUGCAAGUCGAACGGCAGCACGGGUGCUUGCACCUGGUGGCGAGUGGCGAACGGGUGAGUAAUACAUCGGAACGUACCUUAUCGUGGGGGAUAACGCAGCGAAAGCUGUGCUAAUACCGCAUACGCCCUGAGGGGGAAAGCGGGGGAUCGCAAGACCUCGCGCGAUUAGAGCGGCCGAUAUCAGAUUAGGUAGAUGGUGGGGUAAAGGCUCACCAAGCCAACGAUCUGUAGCUGGUCUGAGAGGACGACCAGCCACACGGGAACUGAGCCACGGGCCAGACGCCUACGGGAGGCAGCAGUGGGGAAUUUUGGAAAAUGGGCGAAAGCCUGAUCCAGCAAUGCCGAGUGCAGGAAGAAGGCCUUCGGGUUGUAAACUGCUUUUGUACGGAGCGAAAAGGUCCUUUCUAAUACAGGGGGCUCAUGACGGUACCGUAAGAAUAAGCACCGGCUAACUACGUGCCAGCAGCCGCCGCUG